CCUACGGGCGGCAGCAGUGGGGAAUAUUGGGCAAUGGGCGCAAGCCUGACCCAGCAACGCCGCGUGAAGGAAGAAGGCUUUCGGGUUGUAAACUUCUUUUCUCAGGGACGAAGAAAGUGACGGUACCUGAGGAAUAAGCCACGGCUAACUACGUGACAGCAGCCGCGGUAAUACGUGGGUGGCAAGCGUUAUCGGAUUUAUUGGGGGUAAAGGGCGUGGAGGCGGGAGCGCAAGUCAGAUGGGAAAACUCAGGGCUCAACCCUGAGCCUGCAUGUGAAACUGUGGUUCUUGAGGGCUGGAGAGGCAAUCGGAAUUCCGUGUGUAGCGGUGAAAUGCGUAGAUAUACGGAGGAACACCAGUGGCGAAGGCGGAUUGCUGGACAGUAACUGACGCUGAGGCGCGAAAGCGUGGGGAGCAAACAGGAUUAGAUACCCGAGUAGUC
rnacentral:rRNA from 1 species